GCGCGAAAACUUUACAAUGCUGGCAACAGCGAUAAGGGAACCUCGAGUGCCAGGUUACAAAUCUGGCUGUCGAGAUGCCUAAAAAGCAUUUCAUAGCAAGGGCCGGGCAAGACCGGUGCCAGCCGCCGCGGUAACACCGGCGGCUCGAGUGGUAACCGUUAUUAUUGGGUCUAAAGGGUCUGUAGCCGGCCGGAUAAGUCUCUUGAGAAAUCUGGCAGCUUAACUGUCAGGCUUUCAGGAGAUACUGUCUGGCUCGAGGCCGGGAGAGGUGAGAGGUACUUCAGGGGUAGAGGUGAAAUCUUGUAAUCCUUGAAGGACCACCAGUGGCGAAGGCGUCUCACCAGAACGGACCUGACGGCAAGGGACGAAAGCUAGGGGCACGAACCG
rnacentral:rRNA from 1 species